AACGAACGCUGGCGGCAGGCUUAACACAUGCAAGUCGAACGCAUCCUUCGGGGUGAGUGGCAGACGGGUGAGUAACGCGUGGGAACGUGCCCUUCAGUUCGGGAUAACCCAGGGAAACUUGGGCUAAUACCGGAUACGUGCGAGAGCAGAAAGAUUUAUCGCUGAAGGAGCGGCCCGCGUCUGAUUAGCGAGUUGGUGGGGUAAUGGCCCACCAAGGCGACGAUCAGUAGCUGGUCUGAGAGGAUGAUCAGCCACAUUGGGACUGAGACACGGCCCAAACUCCUACGGGAGGCAGCAGUGGGGAAUAUUGGACAAGGGGCGCAAGCCUGAUCCAGCCAUGCCGCGUGGGUGAUGAAGGCCUUAGGGUUGUAAAGCUCUUUCGUCCGGGACGAUAAUGACGGUACCGGAAGAAGAAGCCCCGGCUAACUUCGUGCCAGCAGCCGCCGUAA
rnacentral:rRNA from 1 species